GUGUCACAAUCCAAUGCAUUUGAC
rnacentral:siRNA from 1 species